rnacentral:lncRNA from 1 species
CUACAUGAAAUUAACAAAUCAAGAUCAAAAUUAAUUUUUAUCAUUGUAGAAUCAAACAUCCUCCAAAUGAAUGUAAUAUUGAUAUGAAUUAAAAUUUACUUACUUGAGAGAUUUUUGAAGAGCAGGAAUAACAAGAUGAGGAUGAUUUUCAGUAACCCAAAGUUUAGAAGUAACAAAAAGGUCUUGUCUAGUGACAAGACCAAGUUCAAUUGCUUCUUUCAAAGCUUCACCAAGAGCUUGUUCUGAGCCAUAUGCAGCAGCAGUAUCAAAGUGUCUAUAACCUUGUUUGAUGGCUUCAAUGAUUGCAUCUUUUGUGUCUUUCUUACAUGUGAAGUCAGGGGCUGAUCCCAUUCCAACCACUGGCAUCUUCAAUUGACUAGAUGUGUUUGUAAGAACCUUUGUUGGGAUUUCAACACUGCCCAUGUUGUUAUUUUUGGGUUGGACUAAGGUUCAAUGUUAAGAUUGGUACACUAUGAGAGUUAUGUUUGAUGAUGGACUAAGCUUUGCUUGCAUCCUUUUUAUAUAGCUAAAAGUUGGUACGUUCUAUAGUAAAAGAAAUUGACACUUAAAUUAUUGCUAUAUUUAUUUGGUUUUGUUUUGCGCAGUCCAAUUUGGAAAUUUGUGUUUCUUAGAGGGUUGGUGGGUUGUGCUCAUUUCUACUACCAUUUUAUGUGAUAUUUUAUUGAACAAUACUUAUAUUCAAAGUUGGCGAAUGGGUGCGGUCUAACGAUGUCUAUAUUGGUCAUAGCUCUUUGACCUUUAUUUUUUAUUUUUAUUUUGUUGCUUUCUACAAAUUUCAGAUUAAUCUGCAUGUGUUAUCCCUACUCCCUAGUACCAUUUUUGUCCCUGUCUCUAUCUUUUUAAUUAUUAGAGGAACAAAAACAAUUGUAUACUGCAAAUUGGUAAAUUCUCUCUCUCUCCCUCCCCCUCCCCUAAUUGAUGGGCACACCCUUAACUUUUUAUCUAUCAUUUAAUUUUAGACUUAAACCUACUUUUCACCCCUUAAGUAUUCAAAAGUUGUAAUUUUAGCCCCCUUUUAAAAAAAAUAGAAAAGUGACCCUCUAUGUUUAGCCCCUUUUGCAAAACCUCAAUUUUGACCAAGUUAAUCCUAUGUGUCAUGCCACCUAAUUUAAAAAUUUGCCAACUGUAUAUUUUUGGAAUUUAAAAUAAAUAGAAAUGCCACAAUGUAUUUUAAUAAUUUGAAACUUUCUCAAAAACCCAUUCUUUGUACAAUAACAAUCCAAUCCAGAGAACUUGCUUUCACAAAAAAACAACAAGUUUAUCUUCGUGAAAUCAGAAACAAAACAAUUAUUACUUGCUGCUGAUGUUGCUGCAAUUCUGGGAACCUAGAACAAGGGCGGCGGCGUGAGGAUACGAGUUGUUGGAGAAAGAGAUAGAUCCAAUUGCGAGAGAGAGAUGUUUAAGGUUUUAGAGGGAGUUUUCGCAACCACCUCCUCCCUUUUCUUCUUCUCUUUCAGUUAUUUCCAUUCCAUUUUCCUCCAAACUAACCGUCGUUUUCUUUUGCUCUUUCGAUGACCGAUUUGGAAUUUGCGAUUUGGUUUCAAAGAUGAAAGUUUGAGUGUUGUCCGAUUUGCUCCGAUUUAAGUUUUAGGUAUAUGACAAAUUUCAGAUUUGUUCAAAGGUUGCUGGGUUUUUAGUUAUUGAUGAAGAAGAUGAAGAAGAGAUGAAGUUCUUCUGGAUUUGUGGCAAGAAGAGAGAUAAAUUUCGUUUUAGUUUUCUUUUUAAUUAUUUUAUUUAAAUGAAUAAUGUGUUGGAUUUUGUAUUUAAUUUAAAAUUGAAAAAUUACACAAGUGUCAUCUGAAUCAGCUAAGUUAAAUGCCACCUCUGCGUUGACCUUGUCAAAAUUGAUGUUUUGCAGAAGGGACUAAACAUGAGGGGUUACUUUUGCCAUUUUUUUUUAAUAGGGGGUCAAAAUUACAACUUUUGCAAACUUAAGAGGCAAAAAGUGCGUUUUAGCCUUAAUUUUAAACUGAGGAGAUAAAUAUAAUAUACCUCAAUUCAAUGCAAAGAAAUCUUAAGAUUAAAAAUAUAGGUCUUGCUAACGAGUGUUCUAAGGACACUCUUUAAAGUUUCUCAAUUGAGAAAUUAUUCAUGAAAAAAGUUUAAAAUUUCAAUUUUCAAUGUAUUGAAUACACAAUUUUCCAUAAAAAUUUACUAUUUAAAGUCUUUAAAGAGUGCCCUUAGAAUACUCGUUAACAUUUUCCUAAAAAUAUUUUCGAAUUUUUUUGGAUAAUACCUCAAUUCAAUGCAGAGAAAAUCUAAAUUCAUUCGUAAUUAGCAAAUUUGAAUAGUGGAGAAAGAAAAAAAAGGGUUAAAUAUGUUUUUGGUCCCAAUAAAAUUGGAAAAUUAAGUUUAGUCAUUACUUAAUUUUAAUAGAUUUUUUAGUCCUUACAAAAAAAAUUACUUCUAAUUUUAGUCCCUGUUACAACAAAGUUUGUUUAAUUAUUCUUAAACUCUUAAAUUUUUGAAGGAUAUUUUUAAGACAAGUUUAGAAUGCCAUGAAAGGUUCAUUUACCAAAAUUUAAUUUUUUUUAAGAUGAAACGAAUUAAAUAUGAAUUUUUAAAACGACAAAAGAUAAAGAUAAAAUUAACAAAAUCUGGACGUAGAAAUAAAAUUUUGCGACAAUUUUUUGCAGAGGAACUUUUAGUAAUGUUCUUAACACGUCUACAAAAAUUGUUUAAAAACUCAAGAGUUUAAGCAUGAAUUAAACAAAUUUGAAUUGAGGAGGGACUAAUAUUGAGUUCAAAAAAAAAUUUAAGGACUAAAAAAACUAUUAAAAUUAAGUAAGGACUAAACUUAAAAGGUCUCAAUUUUAUAGGGACCAAAAACAUAUUUAACCCAAAAACACACACACACACAUAUAUAUAUAUAUAUAUAUAUAUAUAUAUAUAUAACAAUUUAUUUUUGAAAGAAUAAAUAUACAAAAUAACCGUUCUCUACAAUCAUUAAAAAUAUCAACCUCUAUAUCAAUUGAGGUUUAAUCUAGUGGAAUAGGUUAACUUCCACAACAAGAUGAAUCAAGAUUCAAAUCUUUACUUAAAAGGUAUAUCGUUUAGAGUCUAAUGUUUCUAGGAUAAGAUUGUCUUCAGGGGAGAAAACCUAUUAGAAAUAAAAAGAAAACCCCCUAAAUAAAGAAUCAAAAACAAAACACCCUUAUUUGUAUAUAUAAAUAAAUUAUUUAGCUUUUCUUUUCUUUCUUUGAAUAGGAUUUUGUUAUGUUGGAUAAGCAACUUGUAGAGUUUAAAUUGUGCGAUGAUGAUAGUGUCAUGUGGGUCAAAAUAUCAACAAAUAGUGAUAUAUUAGAAUUUUGACAAAAACUUCUUCAAACUUAGUGCUGAUGUGCCCCUUCAAUACAAAUUUCAUUUAGGUGACAUAAUUUUUUGAUGAUAUUGAUGACAUUGGUGUAUUUUAGAUGAGAAAGAAGUAGGGAUGACAAAAAAAUUCGCAUCCAUGGAUAUUCGUAGAUAAACUCCGUCACAGACACAGAGCAGAUACUUUAAUGAAUAUCCAUAGAUAAAAUAAACGGAUUUUUUAAAUACCCAUUAAUUAAUGGAUAUGAAUGCGGAUUUAAUGGUAUCCACACCCGCGGAUAUCCAUACCCGCUAUUAAACCGAGUAAAUUACAUAAAUAACCUUAAUACCAUUCAACUUUCUAAGAAAAAACCUAGGCAUUGUUAGCGUUAUUAGUUAUUACGCUCCUUUAAAAGGAAGUGAAAGUGGUUGAGAUUGUUGAAGAAGAACUUUAUUUUUAUUAAGUGUAAGGGACUUUAUUUAUGUUUUUGUUGAGUUAAUGAUCUUUGUUGUUAUUGUAAUGUAUGAAUAUUACAUUUUGCUAAAAAAAAUGCAUGCGAAGAACCUUUAUUUCUAAAUUUUAGUUAAAAAAAUUAAACAAAUUUUUUCUUUCAUUUUUAUAAAUGUUAUCCAUGAAUAUAUGUAUAAACCUGCGAAUACCUCAACAUCUACGGAUUACCCGCUAAACGGAUAUCCGCCGGGAUAUGGAUAUUGUACAUAUUUCAUAUUUAUCCAACGGAGUAGACAUAAAUAUUACACUAUUCGCCAGGGCCGGCCCUAGGGCAUAGGCCGCGAGUGCGACGGCCUAGGGCCCAUGCCGGUAGGGGCCCAAAAGUUUUUUUAAGGUGUAGGGUGUAUAUAGAAAUAUUUGGAUUUUAGGGGGUAUAUAUAGCAAAAUUAUCUGAAAAGGCCCAAACUUUGAGAUGAUAAAGGAAUGGGCUGAAAUCUGUUAAUGUUUUUGGCCCUUUUAGUGAGAUUUACUAUAUAUAUCCCAUGUGGUACAAAUAUUUCUAUAUACACCCUCCUAUAACUUUUUUUGAUUGUUCUUAAUAAUAUGCUCAAAAAUUUAUUAUCGAAGAAAUUAAUGAUAUUUUUUUGGGUCCUUUAUUCCUAAUAAUGUGUUUCACUAAUAUUAAAAAUAUUGACGAUAUUUUUUAUCCAAGAAAUUGGGAUAAUUUUUAUAACAAAGCAAAUUCUAUUUUAGUUGAAAAUGGGGUGCUAAAAUUUUAGUUUACUAUGCAUGUGCUAUUUUUCUCUACAUCUAUGGUAUUUUAUUUUGUUUUGGUGUAUAUAGAGUAUUUAAUUUAUUUUCAAUGUUAUCUAAAAAAACAUUUAUUUGGUAGUGAAAAAUGAAAUAAAAAACGAAAUGAAGAGCUAAAAAAACACAACAAUGAGCUAAAAAAAAUUAUGAUCUAUUAUGUAAGGGCCCUUUUUUCAUAUUAUGCCUAAGGCCCGUAAAACUCUAGGAACGGCCCUGCUAUUCGCAUCCAUGAAUAUCCAUUUACAUCCAUAGAAAGAAGGAUAGAUGAAUGAUUAAAAUAAUGAGUCUUGUUAACGAGUGCCCCGAGACACACUUUAAACAUCCUACAUUUAGAGAUAUUAUAAUACUAGUAUAUCUAUACCUAUUAAUAAAGGCAAUACAUUGCUUUGGUGUAGCCUAUUUUCCUACCUAUUUUACCCUUCAAGUUAAGAAACAACAAUUGCAAAUAAAAUUUGAAAAAUGAGAAUUGGGUGGUUUAUUUAUUUAAAACAGUAAGUUAUAAACAGAAUGAGAUGGUUAGACAUCACAAAGAAUAAGUCAAUAACUGAUUAAUGAUAGUUUCAUUAUCCUCAAACUUGCGUUCAUGCAAUAGACAUCACUCAUAAUCAUUAUUUCUAAAAUUUCUCAAGGAUAUCUACUUUCUUACAUAGACAAAACGUUUGGCAUUUACCCCCUUGGUUAUCUUCUUAUAAUUUGUUUUUGGUGAACCCUUCUGCUUAUAAUUUCUACAAUUGAUUAUUGAUUACUAUUUUGCAGUUCCAAUUCAUAGACACACCACCGGUAUAUGCAAAAGUGAAAGCACAAGGGUUCAAAAGUGAAAGGGCUUGCUUAAAAAGAAUAGUGGGGAUCAAAUUAUUGUUUAAAUAUAGAUUUUUGAUUUGGUUUAAUUUUAUAAUGUUUCUUCAUCCCAAUUUAUGUUAUGUUUAGUGAUCGGUAAGGACUUGCAAAUCAAUGGCUGAAAUGCAAUAAGAGAUGAAAGGGUUCUUCAAUCAAGUUUAAACCAUAUGAACAAAUGAUGAUCGUCUCACACCAUUUAUCGGCUGCAAAUUGGUAAUUUUAUUUAUCAAAUUGUCAAUUUUUUAAAAUGAUUUUCAUUCCUUGGUUUUUCUUCUUCUACAUGAUCGUUAUAACCACCCCGUCAUUGUAGGGCCUAACUUCGGUAUAUAGGAGUACAAUUUAUAUAAUUUACACUAAUUGAACCCACACAUCUUUUAACUUCAACUUACAUUAUUUCUACUUUCAAAAUGGUAUGCUUAUCCUUCAUAACUGGAAAAAAUGGUUACCCUUCAUACCCACUCACUCGAUUCAUAAAACUAUAAUAAUGUAUACACACAGGACAUGAAAUGCAGAAAUGGGGAAUAACGAUGGAGCAUGGCAACAACCGUAAUGUAAAAAAGGAGAUUAGUAUAUGCGGUACAUGCGGCAGGGCUGCAAUAGCUGCACAUAUUCGGUGUUGGAAUGUUGUGUUUUCACUUUCAAGAUAGAGAGGUGAGAAAAAGGGGAAAGGUAGUGGUGUCCUUUGCCACCGUUGAAAAGAAGCGGUGUCGUGGAUUGGCCACGGAGAAGUCAUUGUGAGCACAACAAGUUAUCACAUAGGUGACGAUGCCACCAUGACGACAGUAGGGAUUUCUUCAAUUUUUUCCUUUCUUCUAUUCUUCUUAUUCACUUUUUUAUAUGCUCAUUUUUGUUGAUUUUUGUUACAACCUGUUAUUCUUCAUCAAAAAGAAAACCUCUCAUACCAAUUUUGUUUCACUUAUUUCUUCUAAGUCAGUUUCUUAUUUCUAUGAUUCUUAUGAUUAUUGUUAUCAUGUUUAUCUUUUCACAAUUUAUGAAAUAAGAAUAAAGGAUCAUGAUUCCAGAUUCUUAAGCAAGAAGAAAGUACUCAAAAGUAAGUUUUUAUCAAUUUCCUACAAGGAUUUAACAAAAUAUUUAAUACCAUCAACUUUUUGUUUUUUAUUUUAACUUUGUGGUUGCUUUGUUCAUUGUGCACUGAAAUGGGAACUCGAGAACAUUGCUUUGAGUAGAGACCAUGAAACACAAGGAGGAAGAUAAAGCUGAAAAGGUAACCAUACAUGUACAAAGAACCUUAUAUGAAAUUCUUAAACUCUUAAAUUUACCCGAAAUUCAAGAGUAGAAAGAAUUAGUAGCUACAUGGAUAUAUAUUAAAAGUACUACGCUAUUUCUUAUAAGGUUAAUACACCACACCUAGGAAUUCUAGGCUACACCCAAAAAAUUUCUCUUCUAAUUAAAAUGUCCAGACGGGCACGGGGUUCUUUCUACUAUAUAUUAAUUCCGACCUUAUAUGAACAGGGAUUUUCAUAUAUUUCAUUAGCGCAGUAUAUAUAUAUAUAUAUUAUGCUUUUUUUUUAUCUUGAAUAUAUCAAAUAAUAUUUAAAAGUCAAUAUGCUUUGUAAAUGAUACUUACAAAUUCACAUUCAAAUUUUGAAAUCAUCUUAAGAGCAAGUAUAUAUGCUAUGCUUUUUUUAUCUUGAAUAUCCUAUUUCUAUCCCAUAUGAGAAAUUUAUAGGUUCAAUAUCUCCUAUAUCAAGUGGAAGGGAUUAGAGAUUGAGACGAGUGAAGGAAUUGAAUAAGAGAGCAGAAGAAGAUCGAGUGGAACGAAAAAGAAGAAUUUGAAGUUAUCAAAAAAUGGUGCUACAUUAUCGACAACAAAGCGUGAAUGAAAAAAAGGAAAGGGGUCGUUGUAUGCAGGCGCUCUUGCCUUCUAUUUCUCCAACAUUUAUCAAACAACAACAUCAAUUAUAUGCUCCAGUUUAAUUAACAUUCCACUUGCUAUGUCACAUUGACUUUUUCAAUCAAAAAUAUCGCAAAGUAUGAGAAGUGAUAUGACUAAUGUGUAAAUAUUCUUUCACUCUUUUUGAAAUGUCUUCGUCCUUUGAAAGACAUAAAUGUGUUAUCAAAGUUUUGUUCUUAUUUCUUCUAUUGGUUUUCCUUCUAUUUUCCUAAUUUUAUAUUUUGUGACAAACUCAAAUGACUUGAUAAAUAAUAUAGAGCAUAUGUUUACUGUUUUUCUGUAAAAUGUGUUAGCGAUGGAAAAGAUUUAAUAUCUUCAUCAAACCAACCCUCAUAACUGCCACUCAUGUUUCAUGCAUAUUCAUCCUCCAUAGAUAGAUGAUUAUGCAUCACAAAACUAAGUAUAUAUUAAGUAACUCCGUGUUAAAAAGUGCAUGAAUUACCUAUCUUACAUUUUUUAUCAAGUUUAAUCCUUCUCUUUUUGAUCAAGCUUGAUCAUUCUUUUAAUUCUAAUAAUUUUCUUCAAGAUAUAUCAAGAAAAACUAAACAACAUUGAUGUUAAAAAACAUAUUGUUUAUGAGUUACAUGCGUUAGCGCAGUAAAAAGAGCGGACAGACGGGCACGGGAGUGCCCGUCUGGACGCUAGUUAUAAUAAAUUCCUUAAUUUUUUUUUUUUUUUUAUAAUAAAUGAGUAUUGACACUAGUAGUGGAAGGAAUCAUUCUACAGUGAAUUUAAAUAUUUUAAUAAAAUUAAUCUUAAUAUUUUUGAAAUAUUUUAAAAUAUCCAACGUCGGCUAGAAUUGACGAUGUUUAAACAUUCUUAAAUUUUGAUGGCUUACUUACUAUGUCAAAGUCUUAAUAUAUUUUUUUCCAAGUUGGCCACACACCCCUUAAUAGAAAAGAACAAAUAUCAAGAUCAUGUAAAAUAAAGUACUAAUGAAAAAUAAAUUGGAGAAAAAUGAAAUGUAAAAUUGAUUAUUCAAACUCGAUUAAAAAACAAGGGUAAUCCUAAGCUCAAAAGAAACAACAAGUAUACAAUAAGUAAAUCGAAAAGAUAGAUUUUAUGGCAAAUUUAAAAGGACUUUAACAUUUUUUUUAAUCAUCAUAGAGGUCAUUGAUGCCUGGUUUGGUUGGUCCAGGGAUCAAACGAUUUUGCUUAAUUUGAUCAAUCUUCUCAUGAUCCUCCUUUGUCAAUGACCAAUCAAAGAUACACAAAUUUUGGUUCAUUCUCUCCUUAUCAUAACUCUUGGGAACAAAAGUGACUCCUUGUUCAUAUAACCAUCUUAGAGAAAUUUGUGCAACAGACUUUCCAUGUGCAUCUGCAAUCUCUUUAAGCAUAUCAUUCUCCAUAACUUCAUUUGGUCCUCUGCUUGCACCUUUCCUCAAUGGUGAAAAUGCAGUUAACACUAUUCCGUUUGCGUUGCAAAACUCUCUAAGCUUCUUUUGUUGCCAUGCAAGGUUCAUCUCCACCUAUAAAUAUACGAUUUCAUUGUAUAAGUACAUAUUAACAAUUAAGAAGUUUACUAUAAGUUAAUCAAAACUUAGGUUUAGUUGAUGACUUACUUGAUUGACUGCAGGAAGAAUAGUGGCAACAGAGAGAAGAUUUUCAAGUUUCUUGACAGAGAAGUUACUAACUCCAAUAGCUUUGGUGAGUCCAAGUUUCAAUCCUUCUUCCAUGGAUUCCCAAACACCCUUCACAUCAAAUGGUAAGAGAUCUGCCACAUCAAUUGGAAAUGUAAACUUUCCAGGCUGAGAGCUAAGUGGCCAAUGAAUCAAAUACAAAUCCAAGUAGUCCAAUUGAAGAGUCCUACAUGAAAUUAACAAAUCAAGAUCAAAAUUAAUUUUUAUCAUUGUAGAAUCAAACAUCCUCCAAAUGAAUGUAAUAUUGAUAUGAAUUAAAAUUUACUUACUUGAGAGAUUUUUGAAGAGCAGGAAUAACAAGAUGAGGAUGAUUUUCAGUAACCCAAAGUUUAGAAGUAACAAAAAGGUCUUGUCUAGUGACAAGACCAAGUUCAAUUGCUUCUUUCAAAGCUUCACCAAGAGCUUGUUCUGAGCCAUAUGCAGCAG